ACGGAAGGCAGCAGUGGGGAAUAUUGCACAAUGGGGGAAACCCUGAUGCAGCGACGCCGCGUGAGUGAAGAAGUUAUUCGUAAUGUAAAGCUCUAUCAGCAGGGAAGAAAAUGACGGUACCUGACUAAGGAGCCCCGGCUAACUACGUGCCAGCAGCCGCGGUAAUACGUAGGGGGCAAGCGUUAUCCGGAUUUACUGGGUGUAAAGGGAGCGUAGACGGUCUGGCAAGUCUGAUGUGAAAGGCAGGGGCUCAACUCCUGGACUGCAUUGGAAACUGUCAGUCUUGAGUGUCGGAGAGGUAAGCGGAAUUCCUAGUGUAGCGGUGAAAUGCGUAGAUAUUAGGAGGAACACCAGUGGCGAAGGCGGCUUACUGGACGAUAACUGACGUUGAGGCUCGAAAGCGUGGGGAGCAAACAGGAUUAGAUACCCUGGUA
rnacentral:rRNA from 1 species